UACUACAGCCAUGCAAUCCUGAAUAUGCCCAAUUUCAUCUGAUCUCAGAAGCUAAGCAGGGUUGGACCUGGUUAGUACUUGGAUGGGAGACCACCUAGGAAUACCGGGUGCUGUAGGAG
rnacentral:rRNA from 1 species